GAUGAACGCUGGCGGCGUGCCUAAUACAUGCAAGUCGAGCGAACAGACGAGGAGCUUGCUUCUCUGACGUUAGCGGCGGACGGGUGAGUAGCACGUGGAUAACCUACCUAUAAGACUGGGAUAACUUCGGGAAACCGGAGCUAAUACCGGAUAAUAUAUUGAACCGCAUGGUUCAAUAGUGAAAGACGGUUUUGCUGUCACUUAUAGAUGGAUCCGCGCCGCAUUAGCUAGUUGGUAAGGUAACGGCUUACCAAGGCAACGAUGCGUAGCCGACCUGAGAGGGUGAUCGGCCACACUGGAACUGAGACACGGUCCAGACUCCUACGGGAGGCAGCAGUAGGGAAUCUUCCGCAAUGGGCGAAAGCUUGACGGAGCAACGCCGCGUGAGUGAUGAAGGUCUUCGGAUCGUAAAGCUCUGUUAUUAGGGAAGAACAAAUGUGUAAGUAACUAUGCACGUCUUGACGGUACCUAAUCAGAAAGCCACGGCUAACUACGUG
rnacentral:rRNA from 1 species